GGAGGAAAAGAAACCAACUGGGAUUGCCCUAGUAACGGCGAGUGAAGCGGCAAUAGCUCAAAUUUGAAAUCUGGCUCCUUUUAGGGGUCCGAGUUGUAAUUUGCAGAGGGUGCUUUGGCGUUGGUAGCGGUCUAAGUUCCUUGGAACAGGACAUCGCAGAGGGUGAGAAUCCCGUUUGUGGUCGCAUGCCUUCGCCGUGUAAAGCCCCUUCGACGAGUCGAGUUGUUUGGGAAUGCAGCUCUAAAUGGGAGGUAAAUUUCUUCUAAAGCUAAAUACUGGCCAGAGACCGAUAGCGCACAAGUAGAGUGAUCGAAAGAUGAAAAGCACUUUGGAAAGAGAGUCAAACAGCACGUGAAAUUGUUGAAAGGGAAGCGCUUGCAGUCAGACUUGCCCGUAGUUGCUCACCUAGGCUUUUGCCUGGGGCAUUCUUCUGCGGGCAGGCCAGCAUCAGUUUGGGCGGUCGGAUAAAGGUCUCUGUCAUGUAGCUUCCUUCGGGAAGAACUUAUAGGGGAGACGAAAUGCGACCAGCCUGGACUGAGGUCCGCGCUUCGGCUAGGAUGCUGGCGUAAUGGCUGUAAGCGGCCCGUCUUGAAACACGGACCAAGGAGUCUAACAUCUAUGCGAGUGUUUGGGUGUCAAGCCCGAGCGCGUAAUGAAAGUGAACGGAGGUGGGAACCCUUUGGGUGCACCAUCGACCGAUCCUGAUGUCUUCGGAUGGAUUUGAGUAAGAGCAUAGCUGUUGGGACCCGAAAGAUGGUGAACUAUGCUUGAAUAGGGUGAAGCCAGAGGAAACUCUGGUGGAGGCUCGCAGCGGUUCUGACGUGCAAAUCGAUCGUCAAAUUUGGGCAUAGGGGCGAAAGACUAAUCGAACUAUCUAGUAGCUGGUC
rnacentral:rRNA from 1 species